GCUGGAGCUUGUCAAGACCAUAAAGUGUGAGAAACGAAUAAGCUCUAAUUAAGCAGCUUUUCAAGACCCGAAACAGUCAUGUGUAGUAUAUUUUAUGCUAAUUGUACUAAUUAUAAUGCUAUUGUAUUGAAUAUAUGCUGUAUGCUAUAUACAGUACAUACUGUGCCUACACACGGUAUGCUUCAUAUUGCUAGCACGUAUUAUACUGUCUAAAUGGGCGUAAUGUGCAAUAAAAUGAUCAACACGAUUAUUACGCAAUUAAUAUUGAAAUCACAUUCACUGAGUGUAUUGUUUAAAUGUUAAACGCACAACUCGGAUUAUAAGGAAAUAGGCCUCUGUGUGUCACAGUACAGAAUUGUAGCCUACGUAUUGUAUGUAGCUAUUAACCCACCUGUUAUUUUGCCUAAUGAACUAAUCACAGCGUUUAUGUAAGGUCCUGUGGGAUCCCAGACCCAGUGUAUUGGAGGUCCUGUGACUAAAACCUGCUGAAGGGUUGACAUGCUUUGCUUUCGGAGAUGCUUUUCAGCUCACCACAGUUGUAGAGUUGGUUAUUUGAAUGAAUGCAGCCUUCCUGCGAGCUCGAACCAGUCUGGCUAUUCUCCUCUGACCUCUCUCAUCAACAGUCAUGGAAAUAUGACCGAAACCUGCUCAAUGUUUGACAUCUUUUGUGUUCUGAGAUGCUUUUCUGCUCCCUACGGUUGCAAAGAGUUGUUCUUUGAGUUAUUGUACGUAAACCUUGCUGGGAGCUUGAACCUGGGAGUCUUGCCAUUCUCCUCUGACUUCUCUCAUCAACAAGGCAUUAGCACUCGCAGAAAUGCUGCUCAGUUACAGAUAAAAUUAUUAGGACAUUUGCUUUGUUUUCAUGUAUGUUUAUUGGUUUGUUAACGGGACCGGCUGUAAAAUCCUGAAACGCAAACACAAAGCAUGAUUUAAGUGUUUUAACAUGGAUGUGGAAUGGUGGAAAAAGAUCUGUUGCUAUCUGUGUUCUAAUCUCUUUUAGUGCUGCAGGAUACGACACACACACACACACACACACACACUAAAGAUGCAGAGUUCAAAACACAGCUGCUAAUGGAGAUGAUGUCAAGGCUGCAACCAUGUGAGUCGUGGUUUUAUUAAAUCCUCUUCAGACACUUCAGCUGCCUCCUCCUCGGUGUGGACACCUCGUCCCCGCACAACAGUGGAAAUACACAGCAGGGGAUUUAAUAAGGACCCAAACAGAGAUUAUGUAAUUGACCGAAUUAUUAUGCUUACACAUGAAGUUUUUAUCUCAGGGCUCAUUGUGUUUGUCUGUGAGGUUUUAGAUAAUGAUGCAGAGUCGAGUGAGAGUGUGAGAUGGAGCCAGGCUUCUCACAGCGGAGCUUACAGCGGAAUGGGGGAGCAGAAGAAGAGAGAGAGAGAGAGAGAGAGAGAGAGAGAGAGAGAGAGAUGUGCUUCAGAACACAUGCAUGUUUUGUGUGGUGUAUGUGUUUCUGUUGCCUGUUUAUAUGUAUUGUGUGUAUAUAUAGAAACACUCAUUAUUGUGUGUUUUUAUAGUUGAGAAAGAGACACUACACAAUGGAUAGCUAGAGAGAGAGAGAGAGAGAGAGAGAGAGAGAGAGAGAGAGAAACUGGGAAACUGGGUCAGAAUGUUUCAAUUUCCCUUUGACCAAAAUGAAAGAAUAGAUAGAUAGAUAGAUAGAUAGAUAGAUAGAUAGAUAGAUAGAUAGAUAGAUAGAAAGAAAGAUAGAUAGAUACAUGGUCUGCACUUAGAUAGAUAAACAGUAUGAAAGAAAGAAAGGCAGAUAAAAAGACAUACAGCAUGAAAGGACAGACAAAAAGAAAGGAUAGAUAGAUAGAUAGAUAGAUAGAUAGAUAGAUAGAGAUAAACACAAAGAAACGAAUAAAGAUAGAUAGAUAAAUAGAUAGAUAAACAGACAGACAGACAGAAAGAAAGAACAACCUGAGUCUGAUUUAUUAACCUAUGCUUUUCCCCAUUAUAUACAGUAGAGGAGUGAGCGCUGGAUUCUUCCACAGAUGGUUGGCGAUGUGUUCAGUCAGAAUAAGCCAAGGAUUCAGGAUCCAUAGCACAGAGGGGAAGGAACGCUGUCUGGACGCCAGCCAACGGCAGAAAGCCGAGACUGUCCGCUGACCAAUCGAGGGGGAGAGCGAUGCAGAAAACUGGAGUAGCAGGACCACCUACAAAAUGUGGACACCCGAGUGUGCUUUUAAGAAUGCCUCUGUGGACAGAAAGAUGAAUAGCUCACAUGCAUACACACACGCUCACACACACACACACGCACACUCACACACACACACACAUACACACACACACACACACACAUACACACAUACACUCACACACACACACACACACACACACACACACACACACACACACACACACACACAC
ensembl:lncRNA